rnacentral:rRNA from 1 species
UACGAAGGGUGCAAGCGUUACUCGGAAUUACUGGGCGUAAAGCGUGCGUAGGUGGUGAGUUAAGUCUGUCGUGAAAGCCCCGGGCUCAACCUGGGAACCGCGCUUGAGACUGGCAUGCUCGAGUUCGGGAGAGGAUGGUGGAAUUCCCAGUGUAGAGGUGAAAUUCGUAGAUAUUGGGAAGAACACCGAUGGCGAAGGCGGUCUGCUGGGGUAAUGCUGACACUGAUGCGCGACAGCGUGGGGAGCAAACAGG